rnacentral:rRNA from 1 species
CGCUGGCGGCGUGCCUAACACAUGCAAGUCGAACGGGACUUAAGGGGCUUGCUCCUUAAGUUUAGUGGCGAACGGGUGAGUAACGCGUGGGUAACCUGCCUUAUGCAGGGGGAUAACAGUUAGAAAUGACUGCUAAUACCGCAUAAGCGCACAGUAUCGCAUGAUACAGUGUGAAAAGAUUUAUCAGCAUAGGAUGGACCCGCGUCUGAUUAGCUAGUUGGUGAGGUAACGGCUCACCAAGGCGACGAUCAGUAGCCGACUUGAGAGAGUGAUCGGCCACAUUGGGACUGAGACACGGUCCAGACUCCUACGGGAGGCAGCAGUGAGGAAUAUUGGUCAAUGGUCGGAAGACUGAACCAGCCAAGUAGCGUGAAGGAUGAAGGUUCUAUGGAUUGUAAACUUCUUUUAUACGGGAAUAAAACCUCCCACGUGUGGGAGCUUGUAUGUACCGUAUGAAUAAGCAUCGGCUAAUUCCGUG